UACGUAGGUGACAAGCGUUGUCCGGAUUUACUGGGCGUAAAGAGCGCGCAGGCGGUCGUUCAAGUCGAGUGUGAAAGCCCCCGGCUCAACUGGGGAGGGUCAUUCGAUACUGAUCGACUCGAAGGCAGGAGAGGGUAGUGGAAUUCCCGGUGUAGUGGUGAAAUUCGUAGAUAUUGGGAAGAACACCGGUGGCGAAGGCGGCUCUCUGGACCGAUACUGACGCUGAGGCGCGAAAGCGUGGGGAGCAAACAGG
rnacentral:rRNA from 1 species